rnacentral:rRNA from 1 species
UACGUAGGGGGCAAGCGUUGUCCGGAAUUAUUGGGCGUAAAGCGCGCGCAGGCGGUUCCUUAAGUCUGAUGUGAAGGCCCACGGCUCAACCGUGGAGGGUCGUUGGAAACUGGGGAACUUGAGGACAGAAGAGGAGAGUGGAAUUCCACGUGUAGCGGUGAAAUGCGUAGAUAUGUGGAGGAACACCAGUGGCGAAGGCGACUCUCUGGUCUGUCUCUGACGCUGAGGUGCGAAAGCGUGGGUAGCAAACAGG